GAGGAUAUAGCUCAGGGGUAGAGUGCAUGCCUAGCAUGCACAAAGUCUUGGGUUCAAUCCCCAGUGCCUCCA
rnacentral:tRNA from 1 species